AGAUUGAACGCUAGCGGGAUGCUUUACACAUGCAAGUCGAACGGCAGCGCGGACUUCGGUCUGGCGGCGAGUGGCGAACGGGUGAGUAAUAUAUCGGAACGUGCCCAGUAGCGGGGGAUAACUACGCGAAAGCGUGGCUAAUACCGCAUACGCCCUACGGGGGAAAGGGGGGGAUCGCAAGACCUCUCACUAUUGGAGCGGCCGAUAUCAGAUUAGCUAGUUGGUGAGGUAAAGGCUCACCAAGGCGGCGAUCUGUAGCUGGUUUGAGAGGACGACCAGCCACACUGGGACUGAGACACGGCCCAGACUCCGUACGGGAGGCAGCAGUGGGAAUUUGGACAAGUGGGGGAAACCCUGAUCCAGCCAGUCCCGCGUGUCGUCGAUGGAACGGUCCGUUCGGGUUAGUAAGGCUACGUUUUAGGCGUAGGGAAGAAACGGUCGUUAGGUAACCUUAAGUUAGUUU
rnacentral:rRNA from 1 species